rnacentral:rRNA from 1 species
AACGAACGCUGGCGGCAGGCUUAACACAUGCAAGUCGAACGCCCCGCAAGGGGAGUGGCAGACGGGUGAGUAACACGUGGGAACGUACCCUUCGGUUCGGAAUAACACAGAGAAAUUUGUGCUAAUACCGGAUACGUCCGAGAGGAGAAAGAUUUAUCGCCGAAGGAUCGGCCCGCGCCUGAUUAGCUAGUUGGUGAGGUAAUGGCUCACCAAGGCGACGAUCAGUAGCUGGUCUGAGAGGAUGAUCAGCCACACUGGGACUGAGACACGGCCCAGACUCCUACGGGAGGCAGCAGUGGGGAAUAUUGGACAAUGGGCGAAAGCCUGAUCCAGCCAUGCCGCGUGAGUGAUGAAGGCCCUAGGGUUGUAAAGCUCCUUUACCUGGGAAGAUAAUGACUGUACCAGGAGAAUAAGCCCCGGCUAACUUCGUG